GUCACUUCAAGUUAAAAAAAAAUGGAAAUCACACCUUUGAUGAGCAAAAUAUAUUCUCUCAAUGGCCCCAAGAGGAUGAAAUCCAAGCAUAAACUAGAAAGUCAUUAACAAGACAAGUAGUUUACAUAAUCUUAAACAACAAGAACAUCAACUGUGUAUUAUAUCCUAAACCAAGAGUAAGGUGAUUCCUUUCAAGGAAAUUGUUCUCUAGAAGAAGUGAUUCCUCUCCUUUCACUCAUCCGCCCUUCAAUUCCUUUACUUCCACGCUAACAAUAAAUGAAAUUUAGGGGGUUGUUCUCUAUUCUAAACAAGCAAGUAACCCCCUCUAAGCCCACAACUUUCCUUCAUUUAAACUAUAACAACCACCUGCCAUUAAAA
rnacentral:misc_RNA from 1 species